CAAUAUAAAUUAAAUGGACAACUGCAUUUAACUAAAUGUAGACAGACCAAUGUGAUUCUCAUUUCAAAAUAAAUGUUUAUACAAAAAGCUAAAAUUUUAGUAUACAUUCUAAUACUUUUUCAGUAAGAAGAAUGAUUAAUCAAUUUAUUUUACAUUAAUAGUUAUAGUUUUCAGAUGAACGAUAAUAUCAAAAGUAAUGAUAAUUAUUUUUUUUUACUUCUAAUAUAGUUCUUAUGUAGCUAUUAUAAGUUAUAAGUUUUCCAUUCAAUAGACUAGUCCUUGUAUAAUUUUGUUAAAUAUAAACUUCUUUUGUAUUCAUUGUAAUUCUGUUACAAGAAUUUUUCAAUAGUUUUAUUCUAUACAAAUCACAUGGCUUCAUCAAUUAGGAUGCUCAUGGUAACUAAUGAUAAGAUUAUUUAAGUAUUCAUGCUUUAUUUACUUAUUCUACUUUAUGUAUUCAUAUUUCUUAUAUUAAGCAUUUAUUUUAAUCAAUAAAAAAUUUAUAUAUCAAAUAUUAUUAACAUAUGAAGGACCUUAAGAUUAUUUAAUUCAAACAAGGGAAGGAAAAAAGUUUAAAUUACUAAUAUGUUGUGUUUACUAAUUAACGUAUGAAGGGCCUUAAGUUUAAAAAGUUUAAAUUACUAAUAUUUUUCUAAUUAACAUAUGAAGGGCCUUAAGAUGGUUUAGAUGUUUGGAUAAGGCCCUAAGUGAUUUAGAUGUUGGGAUAAAAGUUUAAAUUACUAAUAUGUUGUGUUUACUAAUAAGGCCCUAACCUUAAUUAGUGGGUUGUUGACAGUGGUUGAUGAGAGGACCAAGAAGAGGCCACAGAUUUAAAAAAAGUGUUAAAGCAGUGUUAAAGAGAUUGAGAAGUUGGGCCCAAAUAAAGUUGUCAUAAGUCAAUUAGUGAAAGAUAUUUUGCAAAACAUAGUGGAUGAUUUUAUUAUUAGGCACUUUUGUGAGUUCAUUUUCCUUCAUACAAUCCAAGAAGGGUUUUGCUUUGGUAUAAACUUAAUACAAAGUUAAUUU